rnacentral:rRNA from 1 species
GAUGAACGCUAGCGGCAGGCUUAAUACAUGCAAGUCGAGGGGCAGCAUGGUGUAGCAAUACACUGAUGGCGACCGGCAAACGGGUGCGGAACACGUACAGAACCUUCCUUCGAGCGGGGAAUAGCCCAGAGAAAUUUGGAUUAAUACCCCAUAGUAUAUUGAAAAGGCACCUUUUUAAUAUUAAAGAUUUAUCACUUGAAGAUGGCUGUGCGGCCGAUUAGGUAGUUGGCGGGGUAACGGCCCACCAAGCCUGCGAUCAGUAACUGGUGUGAGAGCACGACCAGUCACACGGGCACUGAGACACGGGCCCGACUCCUACGGGAGGCAGCAGUAAGGAAUAUUGGUCAAUGGACGAAAGUCUGAACCAGCCACGCCGCGUGGAGGAUGAAGGUCCUCUGGAUUGUAAACUUCUUUUAUAUGGGACGAAAAAAGGCUUUUCUGAGUCGUCUGACGGUACCAUAUGAAUAAGCACCGGCUAACUCCGUGCCAGCCGCCGCGGUAAAAC